UAGUGGCGAACGGGUGAGUAACACGUGGGCAAUCUGCCCUGCACUCUGGGACAAGCCCUGGAAACGGGGUCUAAUACCGGAUAUGACCUGGUGAGGCAUCUCAUCGGGUGGAAAGCUCCGGCGGUGCAGGAUGAGCCCGCGGCCUAUCAGCUUGUUGGUGGGGUGAUGGCCUACCAAGGCGACGACGGGUAGCCGGCCUGAGAGGGCGACCGGCCACACUGGGACUGAGACACGGCCCAGACUCCUACGGGAGGCAGCAGUGGGGAAUAUUGCACAAUGGGCGAAAGCCUGAUGCAGCGACGCCGCGUGAGGGAUGACGGCCUUCGGGUUGUAAACCUCUUUCAGCAGGGAAGAAGCGAGAGUGACGGUACCUGCAGAAGAAGCGCCGGCUAACUACGUGCCAGCAGCCGCGGUAAUACGUAGGGCGCAAGCGUUGUCCGGAAUUAUUGGGCGUAAAGAGCUCGUAGGCGGCUUGUCACGUCGGAUGUGAAAGCCC
rnacentral:rRNA from 1 species